rnacentral:rRNA from 1 species
AACGAACGCUGGCGGCAUGCCUAAUACAUGCAAGUCGAACGAGAUCUUCGGAUCUAGUGGCGCACGGGUGCGUAAUGCGUGGGAAUCUGCCCUUGGGUUCGGAAUAACGUCGGGAAACUGACGCUAAUACCGGAUGAUGACGUAAGUCCAAAGAUUUAUCGCCCAAGGAUGAGCCCGCGUAGGAUUAGCUAGUUGGUGGGGUAAAGGCCCACCAAGGCGACGAUCCUUAGCUGGUCUGAGAGGAUGAUCAGCCACACUGGGACUGAGACACGGCCCAGACUCCUACGGGAGGCAGCAGUAGGGAAUAUUGGACAAUGGGGGCAACCCUGAUCCAGCAAUGCCGCGUGAGUGAUGAAGGCCUUAGGGUUGUAAAGCUCUUUUACCCGGGAUGAUAAUGACAGUACCGGGAGAAUAAGCCCCGGCUAACUCCGUGCCAGCAGCCGCGGUAA